UACGAAGGGGGCGAGCGUUGUUCGGAAUCACUGGGCGUAAAGGGUGCGUAGGCGGGUCUUUAAGUCAGGGGUGAAAUCCUGGAGCUCAACUCCAGAACUGCCUUUGAUACUGGCGAUCUCGAGUCCGGGAGAGGUGAGUGGAACUGCGAGUGUAGAGGUGAAAUUCGUAGAUAUUCGCAAGAACACCAGUGGCGAAGGCGGCUCACUGGCCCGGUACUGGCGCUGAGGUGCGAAAGCGUGGGGAGCAAACAGG
rnacentral:rRNA from 1 species